UACGAAGGGGGCUAGCGUUGCUCGGAAUCACUGGGCGUAAAGGGUGCGUAGGCGGGUCUUUAAGUCAGGGGUGAAAUCCUGGAGCUCAACUCCAGAACUGCCUUUGAUACUGGCGAUCUCGAGUCCGGGAGAGGUGAGUGGAACUGCGAGUGUAGAGGUGAAAUUCGUAGAUAUUCGCAAGAACACCAGUGGCGAAGGCGGACUCACUGGCCCGGUACUGACGCUGAGGUGGCGAAAGCGUG
rnacentral:rRNA from 1 species